rnacentral:rRNA from 1 species
UACGUAGGGUCCGAGCGUUGUCCGGAUUUAUUGGGCGUAAAGGGCUCGUAGGCGGUUUGUCGCGUCGGGAGUGAAAACUCAGGGCUUAACCCUGAGCCUGCUUCCGAUACGGGCAGACUAGAGGUAUGCAGGGGAGAACGGAAUUCCUGGUGUAGCGGUGAAAUGCGCAGAUAUCAGGAGGAACACCGGUGGCGAAGGCGGUUCUCUGGGCAUUACCUGACGCUGAGGAGCGAAAGUGUGGGGAGCGAACAGG